UACGUAGGUGGCAAGCGUUGUCCGGAUUUACUGGGCGUAAAGAGCGCGCAGGCGGUCGAGUAAGUCGAGUGUGAAAGCCCCGGGCUUAACUUGGGAAUUGCGCUCGAAACUACUUUGCUGGAGUGUGGCAGAGGAAGGUGGAAUUCCACGUGUAGCGGUGAAAUGCGUAGAGAUGUGGAGGAACACCAAUGGCGAAGGCAGCCUUCUGGGCCAACACUGACGCUCAUGCACGAAAGCGUGGGGAGCAAACAGG
rnacentral:rRNA from 1 species